UGCAUUUACUUUCUUUUAAAAAAUCCGCAAUUACUUUUUGGGCAACCCUAUUUACCCUUGAGAUAUGUCAUGUCCUCUCAUGAAAGUAUGAAAGCAGUCAACGAUGGAACAACAAUGGUCUUUACCAGCCUUCGUGUUUUAAAAGAAAUAAUGGGGUGCUGUUAUAACACUUUUCAGAAUUCUCAUUUUUGCAUCUCGCGUUCUAACUCCAACUUGUAUAUGACGGGGCCGUUGGUUCAUCACACAGAGGAUCAGACAUACUACCAUCAUUUAAGGUUGAAGCAAAUUUCAUUUUCUGAUCCUCCCAAUAGUGAACCCAUUAUUGAUGAGCCCAUCGAUAACAACAUAGCCAUUAUCGCAGUCUUUAAAGCCUAAUUUGAACACUAUAAUCUUGUAUAUGCAGGUGAAGUACAGGACAUCAUUGCCGAUAAGGGCAGUUAGGAUUUUGAUGAUAUGGAUGCUUUGAAUGAAUGUCGCUAUGUGCACACGAAACAAUUAUGGUCCACAAUGGGGAAAUACAAUAAAUUUCUUGCGUUUUGGUUGCAUGCAAGCUCAACAUCUGUGGGCGACAUCUUUGUGGCAUACAAAAAUCAUGAUGGCAUUGUCGAAGAGCCCAUGGUGCAUAUGAAGGCUUCCGCUAUACCAGAAAUGUAUUCCUGGAAACCAUCAAUUUGUACCGCAUUUCUGUAUACAUUUAUCGAAAAGGUUGAGAUGUUAAUGUCCAAUGUCAAUUCUCUCCAAUUCUCAUAAACGGUAAAAUAACGCAUAAAAGCUCACCGAUGCACAAAUGCCCACGACCAUCUCAUUAUGGAACAGCAAAGAGACGUU
rnacentral:sRNA from 1 species